rnacentral:misc_RNA from 1 species
GAUGAAGAACGUAGCGAAAUGCGAUAAGUAAUGUGAAUUGCAGAAUUCAGUGAAUCAUCGAAUCUUUGAACGCACAUUGCGCCCGCCAGUAUUCUGGCGGGCAUGCCUGUCCGAGCGUCAUUUCAACCCUCGGGCCCCCCUCUGUGGGCGGCCCGGCGUUGGGGCUCAGGCGCCGUCUCUGCUCGGCGCCUGUCCCCUAAAUGCAGUGGCGGCCUCGCCGCUGCCUCCUCCGCGUAGUAGCACAAACCUCGCGGCUGGAAGGCGGCGCGGCCACGCCGUAAAACCCCCCAACUUUACCAAGGUUGACCUCGGAUCAGGUAGGAAUACCCGCUGAACUUAAGCAUAUCAAUAAGCGGAGGA